AUUGAACGCUGGCGGCAUGCCUUACACAUGCAAGUCGAACGGCAGCACGGGUGCUUGCACCUGGUGGCGAGUGGCGAACGGGUGAGUAAUACAUCGGAACAUGUCCUGUAGUGGGGGAUAGCCCGGCGAAAGCCGGAUUAAUACCGCUUACGAUCUACGGAUGAAAGCGGGGGACCUUCGGGCCUCGCGCUAUAGGGUUGGCCGAUGGCUGAUUAGCUAGUUGGUGGGGUAAAGGCCUACCAAGGCGACGAUCAGUAGCUGGUCUAAGAGGACGACCAGCCACACUGGGACUGAGACACGGCCCAGACUCCUACGGGAGGCAGCAGUGGGGAAUUUUGGACAAUGGGCGAAAGCCUGAUCCAGCAAUGCCGCGUGUGUGAAGAAGGCCUUCGGGUUGUAAAGCACUUUUGUCCGGAAAGAAAUCCUUGGCCCUAAUACGGUCGGGGGAUGACGGUACCGGAAGAAUAAGCACCGGCUAACUACGUG
rnacentral:rRNA from 1 species